rnacentral:rRNA from 1 species
GAGGCAGCAGUAGGGAAUCUUCCACAAUGGGCGAAAGCCUGAUGGAGCAACGCCGCGUGAGUGAUGAAGGCCUUCGGGUUGUAAAACUCUGUCAUUCGGGACGAACCGGAGUCUGAGGAAAUGCAGACUCUCUGACGGUACCGGAGGAGGAAGCCCCGGCUAACUACGUGCCAGCAGCCGCGGUAAUACGUAGGGGGCAAGCGUUGUCCGGAUUCACUGGGCGUAAAGCGCGCGCAGGCGGUGAUGUAAGUCUGAGGUGAAAACCCGAAGCUCAACUUCGGGACUGCCUUGGAUACUGCGUCACUUGAGGAUAGGAGAGGCAAGGGGAAUUCCACGUGUAGCGGUGAAAUGCGUAGAGAUGUGGAGGAACACCUGUGGCGAAGGCGCCUUGCUGGCCUAUUUCUGACGCUGAGGCGCGAAAGCGUGGGGAGCAAACAGGAUUAGAUACCCUGGUAGUCCACGCUGUAAACGAUGAGUGCUAGGUGUAGGUGGGCUCAUACCCAUCUGUGCCGAAGCUAACGCAUUAAGCACUCCGCCUGGGGA